UACGGGAGGUAGCAGUGGGGAAUAUUGCACAAUGGGCGAAAGCCUGAUGCAGCUAUGCCGCGUGUAUGAAGAAGGCCUUAGGGUUGUAAAGUACUUUCAUCGGGGAGGAAAAACAAAACUAAUAAUUUUAUUUCUUGACGUUACCCGAAAAAGAAGCACCGGCUAACUCCGUGCCAGCAGCCGCGGUAAUACGGAGGGUGCUAGCGUUAAUCAGAAUUACUGGGCGUAAAGAGCACGUAGGUGGUUUUUUUAAGUCAGAUGUGAAAUCCCUGGGCUUAACCUGGAACUGCAUUUUGAAACUGAAAUACUAGAGUAUCGUAGAGGGAGGUAGAAUUCUAGGUGUAGCGGUGAAAUGCGUAGAUAUCUGGAGGAAUACCUGUGGCGAAAGCGGCCUCCUAAACGAAUACUGACACUGAGGUGCGAAAGCGUGGGGAGCAAACAGGGAUUAGAUACCCGU
rnacentral:rRNA from 1 species